rnacentral:snRNA from 1 species
AGCUUUGCACAGUGGCAGUAUUGUAGUCAAUGAGGUUUAUCCAAGGCGCAAUUUUUUCUAAUAUUUUCAAAUUUACUUCAAAAUGCUGUAAACAGUGCAACUACACACUGAAAAUCUGUGUGAGUUUAAAAAAUACUGACUUUAAA